UACGAAGGGGGCUAGCGUUGCUCGGAAUUACUGGGCGUAAAGGGCGCGUAGGCGGAUAGUUUAGUCAGAGGUGAAAGCCCAGGGCUCAACCUUGGAAUUGCCUUUGAUACUGGCUAUCUUGAGUUCGGGAGAGGUGAGUGGAAUGCCGAGUGUAGAGGUGAAAUUCGUAGAUAUUCGCAAGAACACCAGUGGCGAAGGCGGCUCACUGGCCCGAUACUGACGCUGAGGCACGAAAGCGUGGGGAGCGAACAGG
rnacentral:rRNA from 1 species